GGUUAAGCGACUAAGCGUACACGGUGGAUGCCCUGGCAGUCAGAGGCGAUGAAGGACGUGCUAAUCUGCGAUAAGCGUCGGUAAGGUGAUAUGAACCGUUAUAACCGGCGAUUUCCGAAUGGGGAAACCCAGUGUGUUUCGACACACUAUCAUUAACUGAAUCCAUAGGUUAAUGAGGCGAACCGGGGGAACUGAAACAUCUAAGUACCCCGAGGAAAAGAAAUCAACCGAGAUUCCCCCAGUAGCGGCGAGCGAACGGGGAGCAGCCCAGAG
rnacentral:rRNA from 1 species